rnacentral:rRNA from 1 species
GCGUGAGUGAAGAAGGCCUUCGGGUUGUAAAGCUCUUUCAGCAGGGACGAUGAUGACGGUACCUGCAGAAGAAGCCCCGGCUAACUCCGUGCCAGCAGCCGCGGUAAUACGGAGGGGGCUAGCGUUGUUCGGAUUUACUGGGCGUAAAGCGCACGUAGGCGGUGUGCAUAGUCAGAGGUGAAAGCCCGGGGCUCAACCCCGGAACUGCCUUUGAUACUUGCAUGCUAGAAUCCGUGAGAGGGUAGUGGAAUUCCUAGUGUAGAGGUGAAAUUCGU